UACGUAGGGAGCAAGCGUUGUCCGGAAUCAUUGGGCGUAAAGCGCGCGUAGGUGGCCUCAUAAGUCCGCUGUGAAAGUCAAAGGCUCAACCUUUGAAAGCCGGUGGAUACUGUGAGGCUAGAGUACGGAAGAGGCGAGUGGAAUUCCUGGUGUAGCGGUGGAAUGCGCAGAUAUCAGGAGGAACACCAAUAGCGAAGGCAGCUCGCUGGACGUUACUGACACUGAGGCGCGAAAGCGUGGGAGCGAACGGG
rnacentral:rRNA from 1 species